GUGGGGAAUCUUGGACAAUGGGCGCAAGCCUGAUCCAGCCAUGCCGCGUGAGUGAAGAAGGUCUUCGGAUUGUAAAGCUCUUUUGCCAGGGACGAUAAUGACGGUACCUGGAGAAUAAGCCCCGGCAAACUUCGUGCCAGCAGCCGCGGUAAUACGAAGGGGGCUAGCGUUGUUCGGAAUUACUGGGCGUAAAGCGCACGUAGGCGGGUCGUUAAGUCAGGGGUGAAAUCCCGGAGCUCAACCCCGGAACUGCCUUUGAUACUGGCGAUCUAGAGAUCGGAAGAGGUGAGUGGAAUUCCCAGUGUAGAGGUGAAAUUCGUAGAUAUUGGGAAGAACACCAGUGGCGAAGGCGGCUCACUGGUCCAAUACUGACGCUGAGGUGCGAAAGCGUGGGGAGCAAACAGGAUUAGAUACCCCGGUAGUCC
rnacentral:rRNA from 1 species